CCAAAUGCGCUAAACUGACGGUAGUAUAAGAAUGUGGAGAAUUCUGGGAAUGGAAAAUCCAGUAUAAAAGUAAGUUUUGACCAGAGUAGAACCAAGACUGAGUAUGGAAGUACGAGGACUGGAAAAUUAUAGUAGGUCCGAUGAGUGCAUUAAUAUAGAGGAUGAAAAUAUGUGAACAGAGCACAGUUUAGAUGAAGUGAACAGUACGCAAGCAACACUAAACUGACAUUUAGGUGUCAAAUAAAUCUUCUGAAUCUAAGAGUAACCACUCAAUCCUGUGAACCUAGUUAUCAAGAAGCAUGUCGACCUAAGUAAGACCCAAUGAUAAUCAAGUUUUCCUAAUUCAAGAGAAUUGUCGAUAGACAAAAAUUAUGAAGUAUGAAUUUGAAACCAUAGAGACCGGGUCUUCAAAUACCUAUUCAUGUGAACCCUCAUUUAACUAAAUUCAUCGAAUUAAGUGACGCUGAUUGGUAAUCAGCAAGCCUUUGUAAGUUGUGAACAUUACGUUCCCCAAGCCUAUCUAACCUUGAUAGAUGGAUAAUAUUUCAGUGCUUUGAGACCUAUCACUUACAUCUAGUGUAAGAAUUCAAUUAAGUUACGAAUCUUCCUAAUCCCUCAAUAUCAGCGAAUCAGAUUUAAAAUUUAGAAGUGUUAUUCUUAUGUAACUCUACGAAAUGUCUUCAGCUUUGUCAUCAGUAAAUUAGUUUGGACCUAGGUACGUUUGAAUUGCGUGUUAAGAGUAAUGAGUUAUAUUCCUUUAAGGAUUAUUAGCUAUUCUAGUUGAUCUGUAAGUUAACAUUCUGGAGUGGUCUGAAGUUGAGUAACUCUAUCCAGCAUGUCAUGUUGACGUUAGACCAAUAAUCCUAUGUUUCUCUCAGUGGAAAACUGUCAUCUCUUUAGUUCCACUAUUAAUGAUAGCACCAGAUCAGUAGGAACUUUAUUAUCCAUCAAUAGCCACGAGCAAUUUUAGUUUAAGUCUUUAUUCGUCCCGGUGACUUGUUACUCACCGUCAUUACAUUAUUCUGAAAUAGACAACUUAGUACAGUGCCAACUUCAGUAAGACACCUAAAACAUUUCACAUGCUCAAACGUCGAAACCAUCAAUUCAACCGAGUUAGUUAACCCUCCUUUAUAAAGCCUUGUCCGUUAAAUUCCAAAUUAUGUCCAGAUCCCCUUAAUUUAGAAAAAUUAAGGAGUAUUAAUAAGAUCAGUAUUAAUGACCGAACCUUUCAGUUCCAUUUUUCAUAACCGGAUUAGAUCGGUGUAAGUUUGCAAGUGUUAGCCAAUAGCCACGAGUGUUCCUCUAUAAAGCUAGUAGUUAGUCUAGUGAUUGGUUCAUUAACACAAAUAAGCAAACCCAAGUUAGGUAACUCAAAUGGAACCAACAUUAUCAUCAGAAACUCAAGACCCAUGUGAUUUGACAUGCCCUUAGCAACCAGUCAGUUUCAGCCAACUCUUUAUAGCAAGACCGUAUCAGAAAAUUCUGUCUUGGCCCAAACCUUAUCUUAAUGAAGUUUAGAAUUAGUAGCGGAAGGAGUAGUACCAUCAAAUACCGAUAUGACAGAAUAAUUGUAAGCGCUAUGCGAUAAAGAGUUUUUUUAGAUUAGUCGGUAGUGAUAUUCAAGCUUAUACAUUAAGAUAACCUCGUAACAACAGUCGGUGUAUCAUGUUCCAGUGUGUAACCAACCAGGCCAGAUACCGACCUGAGUAUGAGAUAACUGUAAGUGGUAAGAAUGGGCGUGUUGCGGACAUGUAAGAUGGCAGUAAAAGUAUUAUGUAUACAAGUGUACGCCUGACGUCACGAAGUGAUGCAAGUAUUAUUUUGUGAUGUCUACGGUACGCUGCUUAAGAUGAGAUGAUGUGUGAUAGUGUCCGGGAAUUGGUAGACCAAAGUUGUAUGACGCAAACAAAAGAUGACAGUAAGUAGUUGAUAUCAGAGUGCGCAGCCAGUACUUGGUAAGAAUGUAAUCAACAGAUUGGCUUGUAGGCCAACAACUCUUUGAUAGGGGAAAGUUUAUUCCAAGGAAUUGAAUGUGGAAAACGGUAAGAUGAUUAAAAGAAUGUAUGACGAGUAAGUUACACAAAUAUCCAUGCUUGAACAUGAGAUUGUUAGUAAUGGAGUACCCUUGCGAACAAAGAUUGUGAAGGUAAAACGGUUCACUUGAGAAGUUUGACGCGGUGAACCAGUAAGAUUAAGUAUGCUCCGGCGCUGAAUGCGCUGUGAGCGUUUAAGUUGAGGAAAAGUAACAGAGAGCGCUAAUAUAAUAUGAACGUGUACCUAAAAGUUGUAGUACGGGCUGAGAUUAUGAGUUCUAUGUCAUGAAAUGGACGAAUAGGAUUUUCAAAAGUAACAUAAGCAAAUGCUAACGCAGCGAAGAAUGAUGACUAAUAACCUUGAACGGCAAGUCAUGAUCGGUUAAUAGAUGAAGUCUAGAAUCUAGACGCGAUAUAGGCAAUUUACGCUUUUGUGAAUGAAGUUCUUGAAUUUCGCGGACGAAAUUCUUUUAAGGGGGAUAGGUUGUAAUACCCCGACUUUAAUUAAUAGAGGAAACAUUAAUUAGAGUGAAUAUUGUUAUGGACUUAAGGAAAAGUGGUAAG
rnacentral:lncRNA from 1 species